UGGGGAAUUUUGGACAAUGGGCGAAAGCCUGAUCCAGCAAUGCCGCGUGUGUGAAGAAGGCCUUCGGGUUGUAAAGCACUUUUGUCCGGAAAGAAAUCCUUGGCUCUAAUACAGUCGGGGGAUGACGGUACCGGAAGAAUAAGCACCGGCUAACUACGUGCCAGCAGCCGCGGUAAUACGUAGGGUGCAAGCGUUAAUGGGAAUUACUGGGCGUAAAGCGUGCGCAGGCGGUUUGCUAAGACCGAUGUGAAAUCCCCGGGCUCAACCUGGGAACUGCAUUGGUGACUGGCAGGCUAGAGUAUGGCAGAGGGGGGUAGAAUUCCACGUGUAGCAGUGAAAUGCGUAGAGAUGUGGAGGAAUACCGAUGGCGAAGGCAGCCCCCUGGGCCAAUACUGACGCUCAUGCACGAAAGCGUGGGGAGCAAACAGGAUUAGAUACCCUGGUAGUCCACGCCCUAAACGAUGUCAACUAGUUGUUGGGGAUUCAUUUCCUUAGUAACGUAGCUAACGCGUGAAGUUGACCGCCUGGGGAGUACGGUCGCAAGAUUAAAACUCAAAGGAAUUGACGGGGUCAUAGCUGUUUCCU
rnacentral:rRNA from 1 species